GCGGGUGUAGCUCAGUUGGUAGAGCGGCACGUUGCCAACGUGCAGGUCGACGGUUCGAACCCGUUCACCCGCUCCA
rnacentral:tRNA from 1 species